rnacentral:piRNA from 1 species
UGACAGGACAUUUGAACAGGGGAUGC